rnacentral:sRNA from 1 species
GGCUUGUUAAAAACAUCAUAAAUUUGUAUUUCACCAACACUCCUUACAUAACCGAGUAUGCCUGUAAAAAAAAAGAAAUUUUAACAGAAGUUGAAGAAAAAAAAUUGCUCUCACCGUUUGUCAAAGUGAGAAAUGGUUUCCACAGUUUGUCUUUUCAAUCAAUUUCGGACAAAAAUACCCUGGGAAAAUUUCUUAAUGGCAUCAACCAAACCGUACAGCAGUUGGUAUCGGUUUAGUUGAUGCGGUUCAGUUUUGAAAACGACAAAAAAAAACGAAACAAAAAAACCGAAGAAGAAGAAAAAGAGAAGAGAGAAACAGAAAGAUUUGAGAGAGAAUU